GACGAACGCUGGCGGCGUGCUUAACACAUGCAAGUCGAACGGAAAGGCCCUGCGUUUGUGGUGUGCUCGAUUGGCGAACGCGUGAGUAACAGGUGAGUAACCUGCCCUUGACUUUGGGAUAACUUCAGGAAACUGGGGUUAAUACAGUAUAGCAUCUCCUGCUGCAUUGUGGGGGUUGGAAAGUUUCGGCUGUUGGGGCUGGAUUGGCGGCUGAUCAGCUUGUUGGUGGGGUAGUGGCUUACCAAGGAUUGGACGGGUAGCCAGCUUGGGAGCGUGGACGGCGACAUGGCUCCUACGGUAGGGCCCAGAGUGGAACGGGAGGCAGUAGUCGGAAACCUGACCCAGUGGGCCCGCGCGGGAUACAGAGACGCUGCGGGCGGGAUGACGGUCUUUGGGGUGUAAACAGCUUUAGGUUGAGACGCCGCGGGAGUGACGGUACUGAAUAAAGAAGCACCGGCUAACUACGUG
rnacentral:rRNA from 1 species